GAAUUUUGGACAACGGGCGAAAGCCUGAUCCAGCAACGCCGCGUGCAGGAUGAAGGACUUCGGGUUGUAAACUGCUUUUGUACGGAAAGAAAAGCUUUGGGUUAACACCCUGGUGUUAUCCCGGUAGCGACAGAACAAGAACCGGCUAACUACGUGCCAGCAGCCGCGGCAAUACGUAGGGUGGAAGCGAUGAUCGGAAUUACUGGGCGUAAAGCGUGCGCAGGCGGCUUUGUAAGACGGAGGUGAAAUCCCCGGGCUCAACCUGGGAACUGCCUUUGUGACUGCAAGGCUAGAGUACGGCAGAGGGGGGUGGAAUUCCGCGUGUAGCAGUGAAAUGCGCAGAUAUGCGGAGGAACACCGAUGGCGAAGGCAACCCCCUGGGCCUGUACUGACGCUCAUGCACGAAAGCGUGGGGAGCAAACA
rnacentral:rRNA from 1 species